rnacentral:lncRNA from 1 species
AGUGGGCCCAUGGACAUUACUCCAUGGACUGAGAGUGGCUGCAGCGGGCAGAGGGCUGGGUGUGUUAGAUGGCAGUUAACAUCAGAUGGUCACCUCCCUAAGAAGUCUUUAUGCUUACAGGUCUGCAAAGUGCCAUAUCCAGACCGGGACCCCCACUCUUAUUAACUCAUCCAGAGAUCUCAGCAUCCAUUAAAGCACACCGAUAUCUUUAUUAAAG